rnacentral:rRNA from 1 species
GACGAACCGUGCGAACGUUAUUCGGAAUCACUGGGCUUAAAGCGCGUGUAGGCGGGCCGGCACGUCGGCCGCUGAAAGCCCCCGGCUCAACCGGGGAAGCGGCGCCGAUACGACCGGCCUGGAGGGGGGUAGGGGGAGCCGGAACUCACGGUGGAGCGGUGAAAUGCGUUGAGAUCGUGAGGAACGCCCGUGGCGAAAGCGGGCUCCUGGGCCCCGCCUGACGCUGAGACGCGAAAGCCAGGGGAGCGAACGGG